UCACCACACCUACGGGUGGCAGCCGUCGAGGAUCUUCGGCGAUGAGCGCAAGCUUGACCGAGCGACGCCGCGCGAGCGAUGAAGGCCUUCGGGUUGUGAAGCCCUUUAGUGGGGGAGAAAAGCCCGCAAGGGUGUGAUCUAUCCCAAAAAUAAGCACGGGCUAAGUUCGUGCCAGCAGCCGCGGUAAGACGAACCGUGCGACCGUUGUUCGGAAUCACUGGGCUUAAAGGGCGCGUAGGCGGGCUGUCAAGUCUGGGGUGAAAUGCCGCGGCUCAACCGUGGAACUGCCUUAGAUACUGACGGCCUCGAGGAAGGUAGGGGCAUGCGGAACUGUAGGUGGAGCGGUGAAAUGCGUUGAUAUCUACAGGAACUCCGGUGGCGAAAGCGGCGUGCUGGACCUUUUCUGACGCUGAGGCGCGAAAGCCAA
rnacentral:rRNA from 1 species